rnacentral:lncRNA from 1 species
CUUGGAUUAUCUAAUAUGAAAAGUACCUUUCGGCGGAUGGAGAGGAGAGGUAAGCCGGAAGCGUCCAUAAGGACGAUGUUGUCUCUAGUAGAGUUCAUGUAGUUGUCAACCCUAAAGACAAGGUUUCCAUUAGAGUUGUAAACUGUGAAUCCAUCGCAGUUGAAGAGAAGAGACUUCCUCCACACCGUUAAAACCACGGCUGCUUUACUAUCACACAAGCUUUCCUCGUAAGUGUUUGGGAACUUUGGGUGAACUUUUGUCAUUUUUCUUCUUGAUUCUCUGUGUUUGUCUUUUCUUAGUGUGUUUGAUGAUUCUUGUUGGAGAAGAUGAGUUGAUAUUUUGUUUGAUGAAGGGGGUUGCGUGUUUAUAUAUACAAAUGUAGAAAGAGAAUAUGGUUGCGCAAAUGAAAAGAAUGGUCUCAUCUUCUUGUAUUCCACUAGAGGUAUCAUUUUCAGUCUAUUACUAUAAGAUAUCUAGUCUUUUUAAUUUGUAUAUUAAAUUAAUUUAUUCCUUUAUAUAAUCGAAUAUUAUAGUACCGGUUUUAAUUCACCUAAACUCCAACUAAAUAUUACUAUAUAGGAACAUUGUAUUUUUAUUCCAGAUCUGGCCAAUACUGGCCCUAUAGAAUAGCUUAUGGUCUCAUAUUUAAUAUAAAUCUUACGCUAAGAGUUAGGAAAAAAUCACUCACUAACCCUAUAGUUGAGAAAUUUACAUGAGUAGUACAGUACACGACUAAUCAAAUACUGUUUGGCUAUUGUAAGUUUUAAAUAUUAUCGUUGUUUUAUUAACGUGCUAUUUUAUAAAUUUUAUUCUCUCAACUAUAUACUGAAGUUCAAGCUUCAAAAAAGAAAAAACUAUAUACUGGUGUAUACUUUUAGACUAAAAAUAAUAUUUAAUUAUUUUCCCUUACAUUUUUCUAUUAUAAAUAGGGAAUUUUUUUUUUAAUAAAUAGAGAACAUUAUUGUCUCAUGUAUAGAAAGAAAAAAAAAGAAUCGACAGCAAGGAAGUGCGGGCCAUAAUCUAAUGUCUUUCCCGUGCAUCUUUUUAUAAUGGAAAAAGGAGAAUCUGUAGAAAUAUUCUUCAUUUUCUUAUAUAUUUCUGCAGAAUUAUCGCUUUGUUCUCCAAAAUUGAACCCAAAGUAAUAUAUGAUAUACCCUAGUAGUCUAUAUCAUAAACUGAUAAUCAAUAUGUAUUCUUGAUCCAAAACCUAAUAUGGUUAAUUAUUGGCUCUUUAAAACCAAUUCUGUAUCAGAUAUCAGAUAAUGUAGUUUUAUAAAAUCAAGCUUUUGAGUUAUUACCAUGAACAUUUUGAGCCAAGGAAAACCAUAAUCUAGUGGAGCUGUGGAGGAUAAGAAUUGGUGGAAAGCAAAGUUCAGAUAUUGUAUAUAAAUUCAUAAAAACCAAUUCAAAGUUUCAAACAUGGUCAUGAAGUACACCAAAUUUUAGCAAAAGAAAAAACAUGGUCAUGAAGUAAAAUGAGUUAAUAAAUCGAGUUUUGAACCAAUCCUUGGUUUUAGUAUGAUAUGAAUAUAUGCUGAAAGGAGGACCACUGUACCAUAUCAUUGAUCAUUAUAAAUAAUUAAGCCUAAGAAGAAAGUAUGUGGCUGAGAAACGAUUAACGGUGGGAAAAGAAAAGUAAAACUAUUUCUAACAAAAUUCCACUAAAUUUUUUCUGAUUAAAACUUUGAUACUAUUAAAAUAUCCUUGUUAUAUUUUUUCACGGCCGUUGGUAAUAAUGAAUGUUCCACUUACGUUGACCUCUCAUAUUUAUAUUCCUUUUCGUUAUCUAUCGUUUGUUUACAGAAAGUGAUUACGACCUUUGAGAGACGCGUCCCACUUUCACCAAAAAAAAAUUGGACUGAAAAUUACGUGCUGCACUUUGAAGAAUAUGUUCUCUUGCUCUCUCUUUAUUGCACUGCAGAUGUAGUACAGCCUAAUUGUUCUUCCUACAAAAUCAGAUUCCUCACUCUAUAUAGUCUGUACCAUCUCAUUAUUCUCUCAUCGUAGCUACCUUUACCGUGUGUUUACAUGCUCAUUUUGCAUUUUACCUCGUACGUCAUCAUAAAAUGGGUAUUACGUGAAUGUCGCUUUUUAAAGUAAAUCCUUAGCUAAACUUUCGGUUUCAGUGGAUGAAUCCAUUUACCUAUGCACUGCAAAUGACUGGUAUAUUUUUAGAGUUGUUAAGGUACUUAUAAGAUCCGCUUAAGCUAGAUGGAACUCAACAUAAUAUAUCAUAGCUCAGAGUUCGAUUUUCUUUAUAGUUGUGUCAGCCUGUUCUUAGAAUCUCCAAUAAAAUACUAAAUAUAAAUAAUUUAACAUGAGACCACCAAAAAUAAAACUACAACACACCUAUGCGACUUUCAUACCAACAAAGGGAUCAGCUCACAAAAUGAACAUUUUCCUUCAGAAAGGUUCAAGAAUCAAAACCUUAAACAUAAUCUUUAAACAAAAACUGCAACCCAAAUAUUAAAGACAAAAUCUUCCAAUCAGAAAUUAAAAAAAAUAUUAAUUUAGUAUAUAAAAUAUACGAAUCAAUCCAUUGUUCACCAAUUAUUUUUAGAUUGUAAGCUCAUCUAAUUUAUUGCAAUAAAUCGUAUGAUGUUGAUGGUCUAAAUUUAAAAAAAAAAUCAAGUUGAGUUUUUUUUUGCCGUGGCUUUGUGAAGUAGUCGUGUGUCUUUAUAAUUAGUAGAAUGGCCAUCUUACUGAAGAAUGGUCAUUUAGUGAACCAAUAUAGACAACGUGGUAGAAUGACUAAUAAUUUGAAUAAAUUAGGUGAUGACCAUUUAGUAUACAACUUUAAUGAAAAAGACCAUUUAGUUGAACAAUAUAAAUGCAUAUCUAUCAUCAUCAUCAUCCUCAGCCUUAACCUAUCUUUCUCUCUUUUUCUUUCCCAUGCAUUCGGAAACACGUAAAUCCUCUCAUUAUAUAUAUUAUUUGGGCUUGUAUCUCCUCACUAAAUUUGAUUCAGUCUCAAAAUCGUAUGAAGUAAAGAUAUAUGCAAGUGUUUAUAUCAACAAAAAUGACAUUCCAUGAUUCAAACUCUGUUUUUUUUGUGGUAUAAUAGCAGUGUAAAUCACUUAUUCACUUAGUGAGUAAUUUAACUUCGUUAUUAAAAAUGAUUUCAACUCAAAAUGAUAUCAUUUUUUUUUCUGAGCUGCCUAUAUAUUAAAACCAAGUUCUGACCGGAACAGAAGUUAUUCCAAAGAACAAUUUCAACCGACCAUGUCUGGUUUACAUGGGAAAAUAAAACGCUCAAACAUAUAUAAUGAUAGUAUUAUUCAUUUCAAAGCUUUAUUAUUCACGGAGAAAACUAACAAUUUGUACUAUUUUUUGAUGGCUCCAUUAACUUUAAUUAGUAGUGUUGCACAUUAUCUUGAAAUUAUAUAUGUGAUUAAGUGAAUGCUUAGUAGGAAAAUUAUAUAAUUAGUUUUGCAUCACGAAGAUAAUGAUUUUUAUCACUUUCUCAACUGUGUAAAGUGUAAACCGCUGCACUGAGAAAUAGAUAAAAAUUCUCAUCACUUUCUAUUAAGUCAAAAGCAAGAAAAAAAACUGACACAUGACACAAUGGGAAAAUAACAGGAGGAAAAGAAUGGCACACCUUGUUGGGUUUGUUAAAGCUCCAUGUCCAACUCUUUAUUAUCCGAUUAGUAGGAUAUUGUCCAUUUUGGGCCUUAAAAGCUAGCCCGCAUGGAUUUACUUUUGGUUUCUUUUCCAAAAGGCCUCGUACUAAUUAGAGUUGGACAUCUCUUUAUAUAUUAGACACUACUUGUCUAAUUCUCCAAUGUGGGACUUAGUUUGUUAUAUCAUAUUCUCCCCUUCAAACUAAGGAUCACAUUCAUCUCGUGUCCCACAACUGACUUCCAGAAUCUUUUGACUUAAUUUCUGCCACACACUUCUCAUUCCUAACUCAUAGGAUACCAUUCAUGUCUCAAAGGGUAUUUUGGUCUUCUUGCAGAUUUCUCGUCAACUGCUCUGAUACCAAUUGUUGGGUUUGUUAAAGCUCCAUGUCCAACUCUUUAUUAUCCGAUUAGUACGAUAUUGUCCACUUUGGACCUUAGAGGCUAGCCCGCAUGAAUUUACUUUUGGUUUCCUUUCCAAAAGGCCUCGUACUAAUUAGAGUUGGACAUAUCUUUAUAUAUUAGACACUCCUUAUCUAAUUCUCCAAUGUGAGACUUAGUUUGUUAUAUCACACAUCUCUAUGCCAAAAAUCAUAUACAACAUCAAAGUUCCUUCACAUACUCUUUUAUAUUAAUCAAAGCUGAUUUUAAAUCAUCUUGAUCACGUCUCUUAGAAAUCAAUUUGCUAUCAGUUUUAAAAACCCGCUUCUGCUUGCACUCUUCCUUUCAGCAUUUCUCACUGCAAUGCAUUCGAGUUUAUGUACCCCCCAAAAAUGAGAUGUCUGCUCAACCACCAACUCUAAUUCUUUUCUCUGCGUCCGUGACCUGCUUCUAAAGCAUUGGCCUCGUGUAGAUUUUUUACUUUCUUAUCAAGGGUUCACGUUACAGUCUCUCACGAACCGAUCUUCUCGAUUCAGAUGGUUUCUCCAAUAGCUGAAAUGUGGUUCUUCCUACAAAAUCAGAUUCCUCACUCUAUAUAGUCUAUACCAUCUCAAUAUUUUCUCAUCGUCCCAGCUCUAGUCACGGCUUCAUGUUCCCAUUGUAGUGAAAUGUGGCUGCUUUCAUAAACCAGAAUCUUCUGGACUGUAGCAGAAGCUGAAGAACACCAUGAACCCUAGAAUGAUUAAUCAUCUCUUUUCUCUCAAGUCCUAUUUCUCUACUCAGACACAUAUUUCAUUGUCGGAUAUUGUUUACUCUCUAUUUCUCACAUGUGCAACUGCAAAGUGCUUUUUUUUUUUGCUAAAAAACUGCAAAGUGCUUAUUACCCUCCUCGUUGAAGUAUCUUUACAUGUUGUAUUCGGAUUCAUCUCUUAUAAGUUGCCUAUGGAUCCUCAUAACAGAGGUCCAAGUCUUCAUGUCUGUUCCUAGCUAGUUUAAAUUUGUUAGCAGUUAACUUAAUUAUAAAUCAUUACUUCAAGUACAUAACCAUAAUUAUAUAUAUAACAAAACCAGUGUAGAAACUUAUCACGUGCAUAAAACGUUUGUCAUAAAGAAGUUUCAACUUAUCUCUCUGUUUUUUUUCUUGAUAACUCAACAAUCAAACUCAUGAUCAUCAGUCAUCACUUUUGUCACGUGCAAAAAAAUACAAGUUAUCAUGCAGUGUUCAAAAUGUUCUUAUAGCAACGGUUUAUGUUGAUUUAGUCUCACCGAUUUGGUCGGUUGAACCGUUCUAAAUAGCUUUAUGAUUUGCUAGAAAAGAGAACUUUCAUAACCAACAGUUGUUAAAUAUACUUAUCACCCUCAACCACGCCUCCUUUUUGUGAACCAUCCAUACAAAAUACACCGUUAAUCGACUUCAUUUAUAUAUAGUAUCAAGGCUAAAAUCAAAAACUGAAAACAAAAGUUGUUUCUGUUCAUGUGUAACCUAUAUAAGAACACACAUGCAUAAACUACAUAACAAAAAGGGAACUAAUAUAUACUUACAAAAGCUUGAAAAAUCAAUAAGAUCUAAACAUUUGGUCCAGAAUGAUGGUCAAUGCCAUGGCCACGCGAGGCUCCAUAUCCGAUUCAACUAUAAGUUUAAACACAUCUUUGCCAAAGGAACCUCCUCCAACCAUUGCAUCUUUCCUCUUGAUCUCUGCCGUUUUCUUCUUGUUCCUCACGUCUACUAUUUUGCAGCUUUUCUGACCAUAUGAUCCUUCAACCUCGUAUAGUAUUGUCUUCUUCGCGCUAACCCACGCCAAGCUCCUCUUGUUUGUUAGUAUGCUAACGUUUUUCUUUGCUGUAAAUAUUGGGUCUCUUUGUGUUUCUCCAUCAUAUACCGCCCAGCAAUCUCCCAAGCUCAACUUCUGAUCGAAUAAAAGAAGAAAAGAAAUUCAAGAUUAGUUUCAUUAUAAGGAUUCAACACUAACGAUAAAUUGGCCUAGUGGCUAAAACACUUGGAUUAUAAAAAGUACCUUGCGGCGGAUGGAGAGGAGAGGUAAUCCUGAAGCGUCCAUAAGGACGAUGUUGUCUUUAGGAGAGUUCAUGUAGUUGUCAACCCUAAAGACAAGGUUUCCAUUAGAGUUGUAAACUGUGAAUCCAUCGCAGUUGAAGAGAAGAGACUUCCUCCACACCGUUAAAACCACGGCUGCUUUACUAUCACACAAGCUUUCCUCGUAAGUGUUUGGGAACUUUGGGUGAACUUUUGUCAUUUUCUUUCUUGAUUCUCUGUGUUUAUGUCUUUUCUUUGUGUGUGUUUGAUGAUUGUUGUUGGAGAAGAUGAGUUGAUAUUUGUUUGAUGAAGGUGGUUGCGUGUUUAUAUAUACAAAUGUAGAAAGAGAGAAUGUGGUGCUCAAAUGAAAAGAAUGGUCUCAUCUUCUUGUAUUCCACUAGAGGUAUCGUUUUCAGUCUAUUACUAUAAGAUAUUUAGUCUUUUUAAUUUAUGUCAUUAAUCUAAUUUAUUCCUUUAUAUAAUCCAAUACGGUGUUAAUUCACCAAAACUCCAACCAAAUAUUAUAUAGGAACAUGUAUUUUUAAUCCUGAUCUGACCAAUACUGGCCCUACAAAGUAGCUUGUAGUCUCAUGUUUAAUACAAAUCUAAUGCCAAGAGUUAGGAAAAAAUCACACACUAACCCUAGAUCAAAUAGUCGAGAUUAUAGAAGAAAUUUACAGGAGUAACAAACUACUAAUCGAAUUUACAGGAGAAAAUCACACACAAACCCUAGAUCAAAUAUAUAUUUGUUUUCUGAACUUGCUCUUUUAUGUUUUUUAUCUCUCUACAAUAUAUUGGUGUGUACCUUUUAGACUAAAAAUAAUAUUUAAAUAUUAUUUUUACUUACAUUUUUCUAUUAUAAAUACAGAAUAUUAUUGUCUCUUGUACAGAAAGAAAAAAAGAAUCUACAGCAACGAAAACCUACCGGCCAAAAUCUAUUGUCUUUCCACUCCAGUGCAUCUUUUUUUAUAAUGGAAAAGGAUUGUUUAUAUACGAAAUGUUCUUCGGGUUCUUUAUAUAUUUCUGCAGAAUUAUCACUUUAUUCUCCAAAAUUGAACCCAAAGUAAUAUAUGAUAUAACCUAGUAGUCUAUAUGAUAAACUGAUAAUCAAUAUGUAUUCUUGAUCAAAACCAAAUAUAGUUAAUUAUUGCAUGGCUCUUUAAGACCAAUUCUAUAUCAGAUAUCAGAUAAUGUAUUUUUAUAAAAUAAAGUUUUGAGUUAUUAGUAAUGAACAUUUUGAGCCUAGGGAAACCAUAAUCUAGUGGAGCUGUGGAGGAUAAGAAUUGGUGGAAAGCAAAGUUCAGAUAUUAUACUAUAAAUACCAGUUCAAAGUUUCAAACAUGGUCAUGAAAUAAAAUGGGUUAAGAAAUGAAGUUUUGAACCAAUCCUUGGUUUUAAUAUGAUAAGAUGAAAGGAGGACCACCACAUCAUCAUUCAUCAUUGUAAAUAGUUAAGCUUAAGAACAAAGUGUGUGGCUGAGAAGCGUUUAGCGGUGGGAAGAGAAGAAAAACCAUUCCCAAUAAAAUUACUAACUUUUUGAUUAAAAGAUAUUAUUAAAAUAUCCUUUGUGAUAUUUUUCCACGGCCGUUGGUAGUAAUGAAUGUUCCACUUACGUUGACCUCUCUUAUUUAUAUUCCUUUCGUUAUCUAUCGUUUGUUUAUAGACAAAAAGAUUGUGGUUUCUGCGGCAUAUGUACACAAAAAGUGAUUAUGACCUUUGAGAGGUAAGACGCGUCCCACUUUCACCAAAAAACAAUGGAUUGAAAAGUACGUGCUGCACUUUGAAGAAUAUGUUCUCUUUAGUGCACUGCAGAUGUAGUACAGCCUAAUUGUUCUUCCUACCAAAUCUGAUUCCUCACUAUGUAUAGUCUCUAUACCAAAUUAUUAUUCCAUAAUCUUAGCUUGAGUGUGUGUUUUGUAUGUUCAUUUUGCAUUCUACCUCGUACGUCAUCAUUAAAUGGGUAUUAUGUGAAUGAAGACCUUAAAUAAAUUAUAGGUUUCAAUGGAUGAAUCCAUUUACAUACAUAUGCGAAUUUAUCGUGAAUGUUUAUCACCAAUGAAAAUCGUGUCUUUGAUUAUUCUAAACCGGUUCACCAAAAAUGAAACAUUUCCAUAAAAAAGGUUCGAGAAUCAAAAACCUAAACAGAAUUGUAACGUUCUGACUGUCUCCGUCAGUGGAACUCCACGUCCGCUCACGCAAUCGAUAGAGUGGAGACAGGCCCGGCCCUGAAAAACUUUUCUAAAAGUUGGGCUGGAAGCACAAAAAGAAAUAAAGACUGUCAAGUGGUCUUGAAUCAAGUUACCUUCAAAUGGAACAUUAACUCCUUUAACCAUAUGAAGUAGUAUGAUAAAUUUAUAAAAAUGGCCGAAAUAUACAUCUAAUUUAUUUGCCGGAAGCAGAUGCUUCUACCGCUUCUGCCCAGGGCCGCUACUGGGUGGAGACAAUCAGUAUAUUAGAUUUGUUUUCUGGAAGUUCUAAAUAGUAAACUUAUCCUAUAAUCACCAAAAGAUUUUUAUGUGAUUUAAUUUGCUCUCACUCGUAUGAUAGUCAGAAUCAAUUUCUGAAAAAUUACUCAUUCUUUUACAAUAUUUCAAUUCAAGUACGCUUAAUCAUAAAUUAUUUUUGGGCAAAUUAUCAGAAAAUAAAUGUAAUUAGUGACAUAUUAGGUAAAUCAGUUUUUAAGAACAACAGGAGGAAAAGAAUGGCACACCUUGUUGGGUUUGUUAAAGCUCCAUGUCCAACUCUUUAUUAUCCGAUUAGUAGGAUAUUGUCCAUUUUGGGCCUUAAAAGCUAGCCCGCAUGGAUUUACUUUUGGUUUCUUUUCCAAAAGGCCUCGUACUAAUUAGAGUUGGACAUCUCUUUAUAUAUUAGACACUACUUGUCUAAUUCUCCAAUGUGGGACUUAGUUUGUUAUAUCAUAUUCUCCCCUUCAAACUAAGGAUCACAUUCAUCUCGUGUCCCACAACUGACUUCCAGAAUCUUUUGACUUAAUUUCUGCCACACACUUCUCAUUCCUAACUCAUAGGAUACCAUUCAUGUCUCAAAGGGUAUUUUGGUCUUCUUGCAGAUUUCUCGUCAACUGCUCUGAUACCAAUUGUUGGGUUUGUUAAAGCUCCAUGUCCAACUCUUUAUUAUCCGAUUAGUACGAUAUUGUCCACUUUGGACCUUAGAGGCUAGCCCGCAUGAAUUUACUUUUGGUUUCCUUUCCAAAAGGCCUCGUACUAAUUAGAGUUGGACAUAUCUUUAUAUAUUAGACACUCCUUAUCUAAUUCUCCAAUGUGAGACUUAGUUUGUUAUAUCACACAUCUCUAUGCCAAAAAUCAUAUACAACAUCAAAGUUCCUUCACAUACUCUUUUAUAUUAAUCAAAGCUGAUUUUAAAUCAUCUUGAUCACGUCUCUUAGAAAUCAAUUUGCUAUCAGUUUUAAAAACCCGCUUCUGCUUGCACUCUUCCUUUCAGCAUUUCUCACUGCAAUGCAUUCGAGUUUAUGUACCCCCCAAAAAUGAGAUGUCUGCUCAACCACCAACUCUAAUUCUUUUCUCUGCGUCCGUGACCUGCUUCUAAAGCAUUGGCCUCGUGUAGAUUUUUUACUUUCUUAUCAAGGGUUCACGUUACAGUCUCUCACGAACCGAUCUUCUCGAUUCAGAUGGUUUCUCCAAUAGCUGAAAUGUGGUUCUUCCUACAAAAUCAGAUUCCUCACUCUAUAUAGUCUAUACCAUCUCAAUAUUUUCUCAUCGUCCCAGCUCUAGUCACGGCUUCAUGUUCCCAUUGUAGUGAAAUGUGGCUGCUUUCAUAAACCAGAAUCUUCUGGACUGUAGCAGAAGCUGAAGAACACCAUGAACCCUAGAAUGAUUAAUCAUCUCUUUUCUCUCAAGUCCUAUUUCUCUACUCAGACACAUAUUUCAUUGUCGGAUAUUGUUUACUCUCUAUUUCUCACAUGUGCAACUGCAAAGUGCUUUUUUUUUUUGCUAAAAAACUGCAAAGUGCUUAUUACCCUCCUCGUUGAAGUAUCUUUACAUGUUGUAUUCGGAUUCAUCUCUUAUAAGUUGCCUAUGGAUCCUCAUAACAGAGGUCCAAGUCUUCAUGUCUGUUCCUAGCUAGUUUAAAUUUGUUAGCAGUUAACUUAAUUAUAAAUCAUUACUUCAAGUACAUAACCAUAAUUAUAUAUAUAACAAAACCAGUGUAGAAACUUAUCACGUGCAUAAAACGUUUGUCAUAAAGAAGUUUCAACUUAUCUCUCUGUUUUUUUUCUUGAUAACUCAACAAUCAAACUCAUGAUCAUCAGUCAUCACUUUUGUCACGUGCAAAAAAAUACAAGUUAUCAUGCAGUGUUCAAAAUGUUCUUAUAGCAACGGUUUAUGUUGAUUUAGUCUCACCGAUUUGGUCGGUUGAACCGUUCUAAAUAGCUUUAUGAUUUGCUAGAAAAGAGAACUUUCAUAACCAACAGUUGUUAAAUAUACUUAUCACCCUCAACCACGCCUCCUUUUUGUGAACCAUCCAUACAAAAUACACCGUUAAUCGACUUCAUUUAUAUAUAGUAUCAAGGCUAAAAUCAAAAACUGAAAACAAAAGUUGUUUCUGUUCAUGUGUAACCUAUAUAAGAACACACAUGCAUAAACUACAUAACAAAAAGGGAACUAAUAUAUACUUACAAAAGCUUGAAAAAUCAAUAAGAUCUAAACAUUUGGUCCAGAAUGAUGGUCAAUGCCAUGGCCACGCGAGGCUCCAUAUCCGAUUCAACUAUAAGUUUAAACACAUCUUUGCCAAAGGAACCUCCUCCAACCAUUGCAUCUUUCCUCUUGAUCUCUGCCGUUUUCUUCUUGUUCCUCACGUCUACUAUUUUGCAGCUUUUCUGACCAUAUGAUCCUUCAACCUCGUAUAGUAUUGUCUUCUUCGCGCUAACCCACGCCAAGCUCCUCUUGUUUGUUAGUAUGCUAACGUUUUUCUUUGCUGUAAAUAUUGGGUCUCUUUGUGUUUCUCCAUCAUAUACCGCCCAGCAAUCUCCCAAGCUCAACUUCUGAUCGAAUAAAAGAAGAAAAGAAAUUCAAGAUUAGUUUCAUUAUAAGGAUUCAACACUAACGAUAAAUUGGCCUAGUGGCUAAAACACUUGGAUUAUAAAAAGUACCUUGCGGCGGAUGGAGAGGAGAGGUAAUCCUGAAGCGUCCAUAAGGACGAUGUUGUCUUUAGGAGAGUUCAUGUAGUUGUCAACCCUAAAGACAAGGUUUCCAUUAGAGUUGUAAACUGUGAAUCCAUCGCAGUUGAAGAGAAGAGACUUCCUCCACACCGUUAAAACCACGGCUGCUUUACUAUCACACAAGCUUUCCUCGUAAGUGUUUGGGAACUUUGGGUGAACUUUUGUCAUUUUCUUUCUUGAUUCUCUGUGUUUAUGUCUUUUCUUUGUGUGUGUUUGAUGAUUGUUGUUGGAGAAGAUGAGUUGAUAUUUGUUUGAUGAAGGUGGUUGCGUGUUUAUAUAUACAAAUGUAGAAAGAGAGAAUGUGGU